rnacentral:rRNA from 1 species
UGGGGAAUAUUGGACAAUGGGCGAAAGCCUGAUCCAGCCAUGCCGCGUGUGUGAAGAAGGUCUUCGGAUUGUAAAGCACUUUAAGUUGGGAGGAAGGGCAGUAAGCGAAUACCUUGCUGUUUUGACGUUACCGACAGAAUAAGCACCGGCUAACUCUGUGCCAGCAGCCGCGGUAAUACAGAGGGUGCAAGCGUUAAUCGGAAUUACUGGGCGUAAAGCGCGCGUAGGUGGUUCGUUAAGUUGAAUGUGAAAGCCCCGGGCUCAACCUGGGAACUGCAUCCAAAACUGGCGAGCUAGAGUAGGGCAGAGGGUGGUGGAAUUUCCUGUGUAGCGGUGAAAUGCGUGGAUAUAGGAAGGAACACCAGUUGCGAAGGCGACCACCUGGGCUCAUACUGACACUGAGGUGCGAAAGCGUGGGGAGCAAACAGG